rnacentral:rRNA from 1 species
GACGAACGCUGGCGGCGUGCCUAACACAUGCAAGUCGAACGGGGUGAUCCUUCGGGGUCACUUAGUGGCGAACGGGUGAGUAACGCGUGAGAAACCUGCCUCUCAGUGGGGGACAACAGUUGGAAACGACUGCUAAUACCGCAUAAUGUAUCCGGAGGGCAUCCUCUGGAUACCAAAGCUUUAUGUGCUGAGAGAUGGUCUCGCGUCUGAUUAGCUAGUUGGCGGGGUAACGGCCCACCAAGGCGACGAUCAGUAGCCGGUCUGAGAGGAUGAACGGCCACAUUGGGACUGAGAUACGGCCCAGACUCCUACGGGAGGCAGCAGUGGGGAAUAUUGGGCAAUGGGCGAAAGCCUGACCCAGCAACGCCGCGUGAAGGAAGAAGGCCUUCGGGUUGUAAACUUCUUUUAGCAGGGACGAAGGACGUGACGGUACCUGCAGAAAAAGCAACGGCUAACUACGUGCCAGCCGCCGCCGUAAGAC